rnacentral:rRNA from 1 species
GACGAACGCUGGCGGCGUGCUUAACACAUGCAAGUCGAACGGAAAGGCCUCUUUCGGGGGGUACUCGAGUGGCGAACGGGUGAGUAACACGUGAGUAACCUGCCCUUGACUUUGGGAUAACUUCAGGAAACUGGGGCUAAUACCGGAUAGGAGCUCCUGCUGCAUGGUGGGGGUUGAAAAGUUUCGGCGGUUGGGGAUGGACUCGCGGCUUAUCAGCUUGUUGGUGGGGUAGUGGCUUACCAAGGCUUUGACGGGUAGCCGGCCUGAGAGGGUGACCGGCCACAUUGGGACUGAGAUACGGCCCAGACUCCUACGGGAGGCAGCAGUGGGGAAUAUUGCACAAUGGGUGGAAGCCUGAUGCAGCAACGCCGUGUGCGGGAUGACGGCCUUCGGGUUGUAAACCGCUUUCGCUCAUGACGAAGCUUUGUGUGACGGUAGUGGGUAAAGAAGCACCGGCUAACUACGUG